UGAACACACUCUACACAUUAAUGAAGUUAAACUGUGACUGUCCUUCCUUUGCUGUACCUGAAGUUGCUGCAUUUUGGCAGCUGUCUGUAGAUUUCUUCAUGCACAACUCGUGUUCUUGCGGAUGUUUCAUACGCAAAUGUUUUAACAGUGGCAAAGUCGUGUAUUGUUUAGGGGCCUUGCCACCUCGAGACCAAUUGAACAUGUAGCUCAACUCAAAU